CCGUGCUAGACGGGGAGCUAGCGGUGCCCUGUACCCGCAAUCCGCUAUAGCGGGGUUGAAUGCCUCCCCCAGGCAAGGUCAAUGGGCCGAUAUCUCGUGUGAGUGGUAUAGAGGGUUGGGUCCCACGCGGCGUAGACCUGUGAACCCCGCCAGAUCCGGAAGGAAGCAACGGUAAACGGGACCCUACGGGUGCCGUGGGAGCGCCUGAUCCGAGUCACUUUCCGAGACACGCCCAGGGACCGAUGUCGAAGGAAGGUGCGCGG
rnacentral:SRP_RNA from 1 species